CCUACGGGAGGCAGCAGUGGGGGAUAUUGCACAAUGGGGGAAACCCUGAUGCAGCGACGCCGCGUGGGCGAAGAAGUAUUUCGGCUUGUAAAGCCCUAUCAGCAGGGAAGAAGAAAUGAAGGUAACUGAGUAAGAAGCACCGGCUAAAUACGUGCCAGCAGCCGCGGUAAUACGUAUGGUGCAAGCGUUAUCCGGAUUUACUGGGUGUAAAGGGAGCGCAGGCGGCACGGCAAGCCUGAUGUGAAAGCCCGUGGCCCAACCGCGGGACUGCAUUUGGAACUACCGGGCUAGAGUGCCGGAGAGGUAGGCGGAAUUCCUAGUGUAGCGGUGAAAUGCGUAGAUAUUAGGAGGAACACCAGUGGCGAAGGCGGCCUACUGGACGGUGACUGACGCUGAGGCUCGAAAGCGUGGGGAGCAAACAGGAUUAGAUACCCGUGUAGUC
rnacentral:rRNA from 1 species